GACGAACGCUGGCGGCGUGCCUAAUACAUGCAAGUCGAACGCAUUUUCUUUCACCGUAGCUUGCUACACCGAAAGAAAAUGAGUGGCGAACGGGGGAGUAACACGUGGGUAACCUGCCCAUCAGCGGGGGAUAACACUUGGAAACAGGUGCUAAUACCGCAUAAUUCCAUUUACCGCAUGGUAGAUGGAUGAAAGGCGCUUUUGCGUCACUGAUGGAUGGACCCGCGGUGCAUUAGCUAGUUGGUGGGGUAACGGCCUACCAAGGCUGCGAUGCAUAGCCGACCUGAGAGGGUGAUCGGCCACACUGGGACUGAGACACGGCCCAGACUCCUACGGGAGGCAGCAGUAGGGAAUCUUCGGCAAUGGACACAAGUCUGACCGAGCAACGCCGCGUGAGUGAAGAAGGUUUUCGGGUCGUAAAACUCUGUUGUUAGAGAAGAACAAGGAUGAGAGUGGAAAGUUCAUCCCUUGACGGUAUCUAACCAGAAAGCCACGGCUAACUACGUG
rnacentral:rRNA from 1 species